CCGCCCGCCGCGCGCGGCGGGCGGGGCGGGGGCACGGGGGGCCCUACGGGGCGCAGCAGGCGCGAAAACUUUACAAUGCGAGAAAUCGUGAUAAGGGAACUCCGAGUGCCCGUAAAAUCGGGCUGUUAAUCUGUUUAAAUCACAGGUGAAGAAAGGGCCGGGCAAGACCGGAAGCG
rnacentral:rRNA from 1 species